rnacentral:rRNA from 1 species
CGACGUCGCAUGCUCCCGGCCGCCAUGGCGGCCGCGGGAAUUCGAUUAGAGUUUGAUCAUGGCUCAGAUUGAACGCUGGCGGCAGGCCUAACACAUGCAAGUCGAGCGGUAGAGAGAAGCUUGCUUCUCUUGAGAGCGGCGGACGGGUGAGUAAUGCCUAGGAAUCUGCCUGGUAGUGGGGGAUAACGUUCGGAAACGGACGCUAAUACCGCAUACGUCCUACGGGAGAAAGCAGGGGACCUUCGGGCCUUGCGCUAUCAGAUGAGCCUAGGUCGGAUUAGCUAGUUGGUGGGGUAAUGGCUCACCAAGGCGACGAUCCGUAACUGGUCUGAGAGGAUGAUCAGUCACACUGGAACUGAGACACGGUCCAGACUCCUACGGGAGGCAGCAGUGGGGAAUAUUGGACAAUGGGCGAAAGCCUGAUCCAGCCAUGCCGCGUGUGUGAAGAAGGUCUUCGGAUUGUAAAGCACUUUAAGUUGGGAGGAAGGGCAGUAAAUUAAUACUUUGCUGUUUUGACGUUACCGACAGAAUAAGCACCGGCUAACUCUGUGCCAGCAGCCGCGGUAAUACGAAUCACUAGUGAAUUCGCGGCCGCCUGCAGGUCGACCAUAUGGGAGA